CGAAAAAUCCAAAUUAAAUUCCGUGGAUUUUUAGAAAUGAUUUCACGAUAGUGGGAGCGAGUACGAGGCUCGGAGAAGUUGUGGAAUUAGUUCGAACGAUUAAUUUUCGAAAAAACGAACGUUAUUUAGGGGCUCGCGAAAGUUGACUUUUUAUACGUUCAAAAUUUGGGAAAACUUUCUUCAUGAAAGUUGUAGAGCUCGUCGAUACGAUCGCGUGCAUAUGCGGAACGCAAAAAUCGGAGUUCGUAUGAAUUAGUUAUGAUUUUUUGAAAAAGUUUCCAAUUUAGUAUAAAGCUUCCAUUUUUGGAAAUUUCCAAAAAUAAAAACAGAUUUUUCCAAAAUUGGAAAAUCUGCUGCGAUUUUAGUUCCCCGCCGGAAAUCGCCUCCAAAACUUCGAUCGACGAUUUCUUCCUCCUCCGGCCACCGAUCCUCACCAAACUUCUUCCAUUGGCUUCGUAUGGUCCUUGCGCACCUGUCUGUGGCAGCCUUUCACGGCGGCACGGCCUGUAGCGGCGGCGGCAAGCCCGGUCCGAUUUAAGCUCGAUUUUGGUCAACGCCGGUUUUCUCCUAGCUCCGGCCACCAAAACUUCCGAUCCUUGGCUUCAUGAACUCCCCUCAACCUGCUGAUCAUCAUACUAGGAGGAUUGCACCUAGAGUGACCGGUUUCACGUUCGUCGGAGCUCGUGGGUUCCCCUUGAUGUUAUUAACAACUCUCUAGAAGGCAUCGAGGCCUGAAAUUGAAGCUUUGACGUCGAAAUCGAGCCUUGCCGGAUUCUGCAAAAUUCUGGAAUUUUUCCGACCACCGAAGCUUUCGAUCGGUAUAUCUCGAGCUACAGGCCAUAUUUUUCUGUGAUUCUUGAACCAGUGAGUUCUUCUUGAGUUUCUUAACAACUCUUCAGAAGGAAUCGAAGCCUUAAAUUGACGUUUUUACGUCGAAUUGGAGCUCGCCGUUUUCUGCAGUUUCUCGCCGGUUUCUGGAAAAUUCCGGCCACCUUCAUACUGUUCAAGGUGAUUGACGGUUUAAGUUGGUGGACGAUUGUGGAUCGUAUUCUGAGCUGUUGAGAAGACGCAGCGGGAUUAGAGGUGAGUAAACCUCACAUGGUUCAUAUUACGAACCGAAUAUAAUUAAUUGAUUUUUUUGUCGUAAUUGUGUGGAAAUUGUUUAUGAAAUAAAGAUUUGUUUUGAAAUAAUAUGAACUUGAUCAACUACGGUUCAUAGGGCUGCGGCUCACAGGUAAGAAAAUGAAUUUAAGUAUAAAAUGAAUUUAUUGCUUUAAUGCGUGUGAACUAUAGUUGGUAUUAAUAGACAUUCCUGUGCGAAUGUCUAUGUAUAUAUAUUAUUUACGUGAAAUAAUAUGUACUGUUGGAGUUGUGUUGAGUUUAUUGUUGAGAAACAAUAUAUUGUGAGAGGUAUUGAGUUUAUUGUUGAGAAACAAUAUAUUGUGAGGGGUAUUGAGUUUAUUGUUGAGAAACAAUAUAGUGAGAGAGAUGUUGAGUUUUAUUGUUGAGGAACAAUAAAUUGUUAUGAUCUGUGGAGAUCAAUAGGUCACGGGGUGACCAUGGCAUACUAUCAGCGACCCACGCUCUCGCGCCGGGUAGGUGGAACUGAAUAGUAUUAAAUCGUGAACCACGCUCUCGCGCCGGGUAGGUGGAAACGAUCAGUUAGAGCUCUAGUCUGUCUGCCAAUUGUUGAGUGGUGUUGUGAGGGAAAUGUUGAGGUUACUUGAGACUGUGAGUGGUCAUGUAUGAGUGAUGUUGAGGUUACUUGAGACUGUGAGGGGUCUUAUGUGAGAAGUGUUGAGGAUACUUGAGUCUUUUAAGAAUGAGUUCUUAAAAGAGAGCCUCAAGAGUAUCCUUCCUUUUAUGGUGAUUGUGUUGAGUUAUAUUAAUUGUAAAGAAAUAAAUCAACAAUUCUUUCUUGUUUACUCAUACUGGCUGUAAAAAGCUUACCGGGUUUUGUGUUGUUGCAACUCCCGGUACACUAUUCAAAUUGUGUAGCGGGUAAUCCUACAGGACAGGAGAACCAGGACGGUGAUCGUGCGGUUAGAGCAAUUGUUAGAGUUUUACAGCAAUUGUACGUUGUGAGGUGUGUUAUGCUCAUUUGAGCUUUACAAUAUUGCUUGUGAGAGUGAAUUGUAAUAAUGAACUCGAAGUUUCGAGAUUUGGAUUUUGUAAUUGUAAUUAUUCAUGUUUCGGAUUUGAAUUUAUUAUUCAAAAUUCGGGGCGUGACAGUUUGGUAUCAGAGCGUAAGGUACAUAUUUGGUGAUAAUCAAUACUUCCCGAGUGAUGGCCCGUCUGCAGCGGAUCCCCAUCAUAUACUCUUCGGUAUUGGUAUAAUCAUUGGGUAUGUCUUAGUAUGGGGUCUAGACAGCGUGUAUGUCCGUAGGACGGUAGAGUUGCCUUCUAAGUUCGUAUUAGAAUAAGUUUAGUUUCCGCGAGUUGUGAUCUUCGAGGAAUGGAAACCUCCGGAUUUAACUCUGAUGAGUCAGUGAGGAUUGUUUAUGGAAAUGAGUUUCCUUUUGUAUGUAGAAGUGUUUGG